CGAGGCACAGCGGGCUGCAGCCGCACCCCUGCCCUCUCACACUCAUUUUGCACACACACAUGCCCUUUUUAUAAAAGCAAAACUAAACACAGAAGAGCAGUGACUUUGCUGUAGAUUAUCUGGUGAAUUAUGUUUACAUGGAGAGCUCAAGGACUGUGGGCAAAAGGCAAUGUCUGGAGCACAGGGUUUCUGUGAUGAAAUUGGCAGAUGGAAGAAUUGUUAUGCUGGGUUUAUUUCUCAAUCAUUUUAGUCAAAAGAUAAAAUUGCAAUUAUGAUGUAAAAAUGAAACUAAAACUUGUUUUAGAGUUGCUUGAGUUUAAUUAAAAACAAGAGUCUAAAAGCCCUGGUUUUAAACAUUUUCUUCCAGGAGGAACGUCAAGCGGCUCUCUUUACAGAGACACAGAACCUCAGAGGACGCUGGGCUAGGCGCAGCCUGCCUCCAGCACAGCCCCAGCCCCGCCGGACCCACCGCCAUCCUCCUGCUGCCAGCAACAGCCUCGAGGGCAGGACCAAGCCCGUGAAGCUCUGAACAGUUUACGUGCAAUUUGAACUUUCAAAAAUAAAGUUAAAAUGAAAUAAAAUAUUACCUAAAAACUGAGCAGGACAAGGAGAAGACCUCUCCCUGCCCUGGUCAGCUCCAGCAAGAUGAGACAGGAGGGGAGAGGAAAGCUUUGACCAAACCAGGACACAGGAAUUGUCUUCCCUGCUAUUGACAAAGGGACCUGCAAAUUUUGUUCCUCUUUGUCCUUUAUCUUCUCUGAUGACUUAGCAGCAAAUGCUGAAAAUAAAUUUCCAUAUUUUGUCUUUAAGUUGAUAUGGUUGAAAAUAAAAACCAAACGAAACAACAACAAAACUACCAUGUCCCAGAGCUUAACAUCAAAGAUUUCAGAAUCCACAUUAAACUUAUGAAGAGGCACUGCAAGCCUGCCAAACGUGGUAUUUUCAACCAGCUUUGACCCUAGAUGCUCCUUUCCAGUCCUCUCCUCGUGAGUGAGUCACCAAUUAAGACAGUCACAUACUUCUCAAAAGCAGUCUAACGUGAGGCUCUUAAGAUUUACUCCACAAAACAUUUUCCAAAAAUAAUGGCCUAGAACUUUUUUGAAUUGUGGAAGAAAACUGAUUUGAACUUCUGUAUGAGAAAAAAAAAACAAACAACAACAACAACAGAAAUAAAAUAAUUAAAUGUUUAUAACAAAUAAUAACUACAGCAAAAAGAUGUUGCUGUAGUAAAUAACUGAUUUUACCUGGACAUAACAU